AAUGUGAAAAAGUGAAUAUCCAAAGAUAAAAAUUAGAAGGAAGCCAUCAGAGAAAAUGAAAAAGGCCUAUGAUGAAACUAGAAACAAGCUUUCUGAGAAAGUGCUUUGUGAUGUGUCCAUUCAUCUCAGAGAGUUAAACCUUUCUUUGGAUUCAUCAGUUUGGAAACACUGUUUUUGUCCAUUGUGCGAAUGGACAUUUGGAAGUUCAUUGAGGCC
rnacentral:lncRNA from 1 species